rnacentral:rRNA from 1 species
AUUGAACGCUGGCGGCAGGCCUAACACAUGCAAGUCGAGCGAGCGGCGGACGGGUGUGUAAUGUAUGGGGACUUCUCCAUAUAGGGGGAGAACUACUGUAAACGGUGGCUAAUACCGCAUACUAUCGGAUGAACCAUAUGGGAUUAGCUAGUAGGUGAGGUAAUGGCUCACCUAGGCGACGAUCCCUAGCUGGUCUGAGAGGAUGAUCAGCCACACGGGGACUGAGACACGGCCCAGACUCCUACGGAGGCAGCAGUGGGGAAUAUUGCACAAUGGGCGCAAGCCUGAUGCAGCCAUGCCGGGUGUAUGAAGAAGGCCCUAGGGUUGUAAAGUACUUUCAGUGGGGAGGCGUUACCGACAGAAGAAGCACCGGCUAACUCCGUGCCAGCAGCCGCGGUAAUAC